GAUGAACGCUAGCGGCAGGCCUAAUACAUGCAAGUCGAACGGUGUCUUCGGACAUAGUGGCGCACGGGUGCGUAACACGUAUGCAACCUACCUUACAUUGGGGGAUAGCCUUUCGAAAGGGAGAUUAAUACCGCAUAAGACAGUAGCUGGGCAUCCAGCAGCUGUUAAAGAUUUAUCGAUGUAAGCUGGGCAUGCGUCCAAUUAGCUAGUUGGUGAGGUAACGGCUCACCAAGGCUAUGAUUGGUAGGGGAACUGAGAGGUCAAUCCCCCACACUGGCACUGAGAUACGGGCCAGACUCCUACGGGAGGCAGCAGUAGGGAAUAUUGGGCAAUGGACGCAAGUCUGACCCAGCCAUGCCGCGUGCAGGAUGAAGGCGUUAUGCGUUGUAAACUGCUUUUAUACAGGAAGAAACGACUCUUGCGAGAGGCAUUGACGGUACAGUAUGAAUAAGCACCGGCUAACUCCGUGCCAGCAGCCGCGGUAAAAC
rnacentral:rRNA from 1 species